rnacentral:rRNA from 1 species
UACGAAGGGGGCUAGCGUUGUUCGGAAUUACUGGGCGUAAAGGGCGCGUAGGCGGCCUCGUCCGUCCGGCGUGAAAUGCCUGGGCUCAACCUAGGAAUUGCGCUCGAUACAGCGAGGCUAGAGUGUGGGAGAGGUUGGUGGAAUUCCCAGUGUAGAGGUGAAAUUCGUAGAUAUUGGGAAGAACACCGGUGGCGAAGGCGGCCAACUGGACCACAACUGACGCUGAGGUGCGAAAGCGUGGGGAGCAAACAGG